CAGUCGCCGCGGUAAUACGAAGGGUGCAAGCGUUACUCGGAAUUACUGGGCGUAAAGCGUGUGUAGGUGGUUGUUUAAGUCUGUCGUGAAAGCCCUGGGCUCAACCUGGGAAUUGCGAUGGAUACUGGGCGACUAGAGUGCGGUAGAGGAUAGUGGAAUUUCCGGUGUAGCAGUGAAAUGCGUAGAGAUCGGAAGGAACAUCUGUGGCGAAGGCGACUAUCUGGGCCAACACUGACACUGAGACACGAAAGCGUGGGGAGCAAACAGGAUUAGAUACCCGUGUAGUCCCUGUCUCUUAUAC
rnacentral:rRNA from 1 species